GUCUCUUCGGAGAUACUCGAGUGGCGAACGGGUGAGUAACACGUGGGCGAUCUGCCCUGCACUUCGGGAUAAGCCUGGGAAACUGGGUCUAAUACCGGAUAGGACCACGGGAUUCAUGUCCUGUGGUGGAAAGCUUUUGCGGUGUGGGAUGGGCCCGCGGCCUAUCAGCUUGUUGGUGGGGUAACGGCCUACCAAGGCGACGACGGGUAGCCGGCCUGAGAGGGUGUCCGGCCACACUGGGACUGAGAUACGGCCCAGACUCCUACGGGAGGCAGCAGUGGGGAAUAUUGCACAAUGGGCGCAAGCCUGAUGCAGCGACGCCGCGUGGGGGAUGACGGCCUUCGGGUUGUAAACCUCUUUCACCAUCGACGAAGGUUCGGGUUUUCUCGGAUUGACGGUAGGUGGAGAAGAAGCACCGGCCAACUACGUGCCAGCAGCCGCGGUAAUACGUAGGGUGCGAGCGUUGUCCGGAAUUACUGGGCGUAAAGAGCUCGUAGGUGGUUUGUCGCGUUGUUCGUGAAAUCUCACGGCUUAACUGUGAGCGUGCGGGCGAUACGGGCAGGCUAGAGUACUGCAGGGGAGACUGGAAUUCCUGGUGUAGCGGUGGAAUGCGCAGAUAUCAGGAGGAACACCGGUGGCGAAGGCGGGUCUCUGGGCAGUAACUGACGCUGAGGAGCGAAAGCGUGGGGAGCGAACAGGAUUAGAUACCCUGGUAGUCCACGCCGUAAACGGUGGGUACUAGGUGUGGGUUUCCUUCCUUGGGAUCCGUGCCGUAGCUAACGCAUUAAGUACCCCGCCUGGGGAGUACGGCCGCAAGGCUAAAACUCAAAGGAAUUGACGGGGGCCCGCACAAGCGGCGGAGCAUGUGGAUUAAUUCGAUGCAACGCGAAGAACC
rnacentral:rRNA from 1 species